AUACGGAAGGUGCGAACGUUGCUCGGAAUCACUGGGCAUAAAGGGCUCGUAGGCGGUCUGCCAGGUCUGGGGUGAAGUCCCUCGGCACAACCGAGGAACUGCCUCAGAAACCGGCAGGCUAGAGGGCAGGAGGGGCGAGCGGAAUUCCUGGUGGAGCGGUGAAAUGCGUAGAUAUCAGGAGGAACGCCGGCGGCGAAAGCGGCUCUCUGGUCUGUUCCUGACGCUGAGGAGCGAAAGCUAGGGUAGCAAACAGGAUUAGAAACCCGAGUAGUCC
rnacentral:rRNA from 1 species